AUACAAAUAAAAUGAAAUAUAACAUAUUUAUUUUUCAGUUCGUCACAGUAAUCUUCCCUUGUCUCUGCGUCUGUACCCUUUAUUUUUAGGGUAAUAUUAGUAGAUAACCAAAUAAAACAUACAAAUUAAGAAAUUAGCAGAGAGAAAGUUUUUUGUUACAAAAUAACCAUGAACCCACGUUGUCGGAAGAAAGGAAAUAAUAAAGCUACCCUUCAUUUGUUGUAAGAUGAACAGUAAACGAAACACAUCCGUGUAAUUUUUUAAAAUAGCAUGUAACAUUAAAAUUUCACAUGUUAUAUUUAGUUUAAAAACAUGAUAUUUCAAAAAACGUUAUGAAUUUUUAAGAAAAAACAUUAUUAU
rnacentral:sRNA from 1 species